GACGAACGCUGGCGGCGUGCUUAACACAUGCAAGUCGAACGAUGAACCCGGAGCUUGCUCUGGGGGAUUAGUGGCGAACGGGUGAGUAACACGUGAGUAACCUGCCCUGGACUCUGGGAUAAGCGUUGGAAACGACGUCUAAUACCGGAUAGGACCUUGGAUCGCAUGAUCUGGGGUGGAAAGUUUUUUCGGUCUGGGAUGGACUCGCGGCCUAUCAGCUUGUUGGUGAGGUAAUGGCUCACCAAGGCGUCGACGGGUAGCCGGCCUGAGAGGGUGACCGGCCACACUGGGACUGAGACACGGCCCAGACUCCUACGGGAGGCAGCAGUGGGGAAUAUUGCACAAUGGGCGAAAGCCUGAUGCAGCAGCGCCGCGUGCGGGAUGACGGCCUUCGGGUUGUAAACCGCUUUUAGUAGGGAAGAAGGGCUUCGGCUUGACGGUACCUGCAGAAAAAGGACCGGCUAACUACGUG
rnacentral:rRNA from 1 species